CAAACCCUCAAGCUUCUGCUUGGUGUUGGGUCCUCGUCCCUCACAGGACGUGCCCGAAACUCGUAGGCGGUGGCGCCCAGCUCCUUUGCGUAGUUAUACAUUCCGCUCUGGAGGGUUGGGUACUGCUCGCCCCAUAAUCUUUUAUUAUCUAUG
rnacentral:misc_RNA from 1 species